GAUGAACGCUAGCUACAGGCUUAACACAUGCAAGUCGAGGGACCGGCGCACGGGUGAGUAACACGUAUCCAACCUGCCCUUUACUCGGGGAUAGCCUUUCGCAAGAAAGAUUAAUACCCGAUAUAAAGGAUGGGGAUGCGUUCCAUUAGGUUGUUGGUGAGGUAACGGCUCACCAAGCCUUCGAUGGAUAGGGGUUCUGAGAGGAAGGUACCCGACAAUGGAACUAAGACACGGUCCAAACACGUACGAGAGGCAGCAGUAGGGAAUAUUAGUCACGAAGCGCUAGCCUGAACCAGCCGAGUAGCGUGAAGGAUGAAGGCUUAUGAGUCGUAUACUUGUUUUGAAUAAGAAUAUGUAUUAUAUGAAUAAGCAUCGGCUAACUCCGUGCCAGCAGCCGCGGUAAUUC
rnacentral:rRNA from 1 species